UGGUAGUCCACGCCCUAAACGAUGUCAACUAGUUGUUGGGGAUUCAUUUCCUUAGUAACGUAGCUAACGCGUGAAGUUGACCGCCUGGGGAGUACGGUCGCAAGAUUAAAACUCAAAGGAAUUGACGGGGACCCGCACAAGCGGUGGUUGAUGUGGAUUAAUUCGAUGCAACGCGAAAAACCUUACCUACCCUUGACAUGCCACUAACGAAGCAGAGAUGCAUUAGGUGCUCGAAAGAGAAAGUGGACACAGGUGCUGCAUGGCUGUCGUCAGCUCGUGUCGUGAGAUGUUGGGUUAAGUCCCGCAACGAGCGCAACCCUUGUCUCUAGUUGCUACGAAAGGGCACUCUAGAGAGACUGCCGGUGACAAACCGGAGGAAGGUGGGGAUGACGUCAAGUCCUCAUGGCCCUUAUGGGUAGGGCUUCACACGUCAUACAAUGGUGCAUACAGAGGGUUGCCAAGCCGCGAGGUGGAGCUAAUCCCAGAAAAUGCAUCGUAGUCCGGAUCGUAGUCUGCAACUCGA
rnacentral:rRNA from 1 species